GAUCACUGGUCUAAUGUAACCAAUGUUCAAUUUCAUCUAUCUGACCAAGGCCUUUACUAGCCAAGAUAGGGUUACAUAUAGUUGUGGUUCUUAUCUCCUUUAAAGCUGGAGGGAAUGUCAGCCAUUUUAUUUGCCUCUAAAUUCCCAAUUUAUAUACAUACACAGGAAACAUUUCUGUUUCACCUUUCCUGUCACUUCAUUGUUUUCCAAAAUUCAAUUUUUGCUAAGUAAUAUAAUGAUUUUAGCCUUCCCCGUCAAAAGAUUUUCAGUACAGAAACUCAUUAUCUUCUGGAUAUUAUGAAUCUGUGUGAGUCACCACAUAGUUAAUGGAGCUCUUUGAAGAAUUUUUGACUAAACCCUUCCCCCUGAGCCAUUUAGGGUGUUACUGUCCACCUUUCCACUGGGCUGUGCUUUAUAACCCUUUCUUUGCAAAAAUCCUAAAGGGGGACUUUACACUGUUGAUCCUGUGCCUGCCUGGCUGCCUAGUGUAGUGUGACGAGCACGGGAUGGCAGCACCGCCAGCCUGUCUGCCCUAUCAAUGCCUCAUUCAUGUUAGUGAAAGCCACUUCCUGCUUUCACACAAGGCCAGGUCUGUUGGAGACAGGGAGGAACCAGCAAACAGAUCUCACUACCCAAAACACUACCGUAGCAGCAAGAAAAAUAAAUAGUGGGAAAUGCCGCUACCCUUAUACCAAGACCCUUUCAAUCCCAGCAAAGAAUGAAGGAAAAUGGUUGUCCAACCGGUGGCCUUCAUCUUUUCAUGAAACCCACUGACAGGUGUAUAUGAUUGGUGGAUGCUGGGACAUGUAACAGGACACGUUAACAGGUCUACAGCCAUAUAUGGAAACAUUUCUGUACAUUGAUUGAAAGUGGUUUGUCAUGUCACUGAACAGAGCUGUGCAAUGUAUCACAGCCUCAUAAAUAAAGCAUCAUUGUCACAA